AUGGCGGCGCCCCCGGGAGCAAGUGCGGAGCCGCAAGGAUCGCCGGCCGCCAGCACCAAGAAGGCAGCCCACUUGGCUCCUCUCGGCCCGGCCGCGGAGUCCAACCCUGCCUGCAUUGCUGCACAGUUGCUGCUACAACUGUGGCGAAGAUGCCGGCCACAUCUCGCGCCACUGCACCAACCCGACGAGAUGUGUGCGCUGUGGUGGUCAGAACCACAUCUCCAGGGGUUGCACCCGCCCCCGCAACUCCUCUCUGGUGGAUCCGGCCCGCCCCCCACCCGUGCUUCGCCCACGCCAGCAGCCGGCUCCGGUAGUGACCCCAACCCGCCGCCGCCUCCGGGUCUGGGGGCCAGGCACGCCCAGGUCGCGCUCCUCCUCCCCCGCCGGGGCCCCCGCCUGCAGGCGCCGUCCGGCUAG
rnacentral:rRNA from 1 species